rnacentral:rRNA from 1 species
UACGUAGGGCGCAAGCGUUAUCCGGAAUUAUUGGGCGUAAAGAGCUCGUAGGCGGUUUGUCGCGUCUGCCGUGAAAGUCCGGGCUCAACUCCGGAUCUGCGGUGGGUACGGGCAGACUAGAGUGAUGUAGGGGAGACUGGAAUUCCUGGUGUAGCGGUGAAAUGCGCAGAUAUCAGGAGGAACACCGAUGGCGAAGGCAGGUCGUCUGGCAUUAACUGACGCUGAGGAGCGAAAGCAUGGGGAGCGAACAGG